GCCAGGACCCAACUCUAAACCAGCCCCAGCCCCAGCCACUACCCUAACCCCACAGAGCCAGAGACGCAACUCUAACCCAGUUAGCUACCCUAACCCCACAGAGCCAGAGACCCAACUCUAACCCAGCCAGCUACCCUAACCCCAUAGAGCCAGGGACCCAACUCUAACCCCGCCCCAGCCAGCUACCCUAACCCCACAGAGCCAGAAGAGACCCAACUCUAAACCAGCCCCAGCCAGCUACCCUAACCCCACAGAGCCAGAGACGCAACUCUAACCCAGUGCUACCCUAACCCCACAGAGCCAGAGACCCAACUCUAACCCAGCCAGCUACCUAACCCCACAGAGCCAGAGACCCAACUCU
rnacentral:lncRNA from 1 species